rnacentral:rRNA from 1 species
UGCCUGGCGGCCGUAGCGCGGUGGUCCCACCUGACCCCAUGCCGAACUCAGAAGUGAAAACGCCGUAGCGCCGAUGGUAGUGUGGGGUCUCCCCAUGCGAGAGUAGGGAACUGCCAGGCAU